UACGUAGGUGGCAAGCGUUGUCCGGAAUUACUGGGCGUAAAGGGCGCGUAGGCGGUUUGUUAAGUUGGAUGUGAAAACUGUGGGCUCAACCCACAGCCUGCAUCCAAUAUUGACAGGCUAGAGUUCUGGAGGGGAUAGUGGAAUUCCUGGUGUAGCGGUGAAAUGCGUAGAUAUCAGGAGGAACACCGGUGGCGAAGGCGGCUAUCUGGACAGAGUCUGACGCUGAGGCGCGAAAGCUAGGGGAGCAAACAGG
rnacentral:rRNA from 1 species